UACAGAGGUCUCAAGCGUUGUUCGGAUUCAUUGGGCGUAAAGGGUGCGUAGGUGGCGCCGUAAGUCGGGUGUGAAAUUUCGGAGCUUAACUCCGAAACUGCAUUCGAUACUGCGGUGCUUGAGGACUGGAGAGGAGACUGGAAUUCAUGGUGUAGCAGUGAAAUGCGUAGAGAUCAUGAGGAAGACCAGUGGCGAAGGCGGGUCUCUGGACAGUUCCUGACGCUGAGGCGCGAAAGCUAGGGGAGCAAACGGG
rnacentral:rRNA from 1 species